rnacentral:misc_RNA from 1 species
UCAUGUGUGUGUGUGUGUGUCCCUGUUAUAAUGAAUGGCAGAAAAAACAUCUGCAGAACAGUAUUUUUGCUUGUAUAUAUAUAUAUAUAUAUUAGGUAUAGACAACUUUUUCUAAGAAGCAGGCACACAAGACAUGGCUCAUCAUCUGGUGGUCCACCCAACUAAAAAAUUCAAGACUGAACCCAUUGAACAGAGUGAUGGCAGCCAGACUUGACUUUGAAGAAAGGAAAUUUAUUCUAAAAUGCUACUGGAAGUAUGAAAACGCAGUAGAAGUGCAAAGACAAUUUAGGAGGGAGUUUAACAAAGAACCACCAACACGAGUUACCAUCACUCGAAUUAGAGAUAAGUUUGAAGCUGAUGGAAUUGUUCAGGACGCCCAUUAGAAGCGUUCUGGAACACCACGUACAUCGACAAGCCCCACAAAA